GACGAACGCUGGCGGCGUGCUUAACACAUGCAAGUCGAACGGAAAGGCCCUGCUUUUGUGGGGUGCUCGAGUGGCGAACGGGUGAGUAACACGUGAGUAACCUGCCCUUGACUUUGGGAUAACUUCAGGAAACUGGGGCUAAUACCGGAUAGGAGCUCCUGCUGCAUGGUGGGGGUUGGAAAGUUUCGGCGGUUGGGGAUGGACUCGCGGCUUAUCAGCUUGUUGGUGGGGUAGUGGCUUACCAAGGCUUUGACGGGUAGCCGGCCUGAGAGGGUGACCGGCCAAAUUGGGACUGAGAUACGGCCCAGACGCCUACGGGAGGCAGCAGGGGGGAAGAUUGCACAAUGGGCGGAAGCCUGAGGCAGCAACUCCGCGUGCGGGAUGACGGCCUUCGGGUUGUAAACCGCUUUCGCCUGUGACGAAGCGUGAGUGACGGUAAUGGGUAAAGAAGCACCGGCUAACUACGUG
rnacentral:rRNA from 1 species